UACAAUUUGCUGUGUUCAGGAUUUGUUCAGACAAAUAAUAAAAUUGCAAUUGGGGCAGCAAUUUCUCCAACAUCCUCUUAUAAUGGUGGCCAAUAUGAUAUUAGCAUCAUGAUUUGGAAGGUAAUUACAUUUCUCUGUAGAGAAAAUGAAAAAAAGAAUAGGAGGGGAGGGGGAAUACGUUACACAUUGCAAUAUAUAGGCCAAAUAACUUCUUUUAUUUAUUUUUUAUUUCAUGGGGCUUCUAAGUCGUGGUAAAGGAAAGAUUGAAAAACUCAUUUCUUUCUUUUUUUAUUACCUUUUUUUUUUUUUUUAUAUAUAAGAUCGAAUUCAUUAGAUUUUUUAAACGAAUAGUACUUUCUUCAUUUUAAAAUAAGUGUUAUCUUGACAUAAUAUUUUUAUUUCAAACUAAGUGUUAUCUUAGAAAUUCAAGACACAUUCUUUUAUGCCAUUUUCUUAAUAGUGUUCGAUUUUCAAGAUAUAUUUAUUUAAUAAUAAUAAUUUAAUAAACUACACAUUGUAUUCAUUAAUUUCAUAUAUAAAGAACAUGAUAUUUGCUAGAGUUAUACUUAUUUUGGCAGGGAGGAAGUAAUACUAAGGCUAGCCAACUUAAUUAGCUUAAUUUGUUCACUUGUCCACAAGCUCAAUGUUUAAAAAGGCUUCAUUUGGCCGGUCAUGCUGAUUCAAAAAUGAUUAUUAAUCAUUUCAUAGACGUUUCAUUAACCAAAAACAAAAGAAAUAUAAAUAUUGGUUAAAAUAAAAGAAUGGAAAAGGGAAAAAGAAAAAGCAAUUGAUAUGAAUUUACAUCAUGCUUGUAGGUGUGUAUGUAUAUAUACCUAUGGGGGAAUCUUAAAGUUUCAUUCAUCGUAUAAUUUUUUUUGUCAGUGGAAAUAAUUUUUUUGUUUGUGCUUUAAUUCCCCCCCCCCUCCCCUCCCCCCCACUUUGUAAGAUUCUCUUGACUCUUCUUUCCCAAACAAAAGCUAAGCCUUCUCUGACCCAUCAACUUGUUAUUAUUUUUCACUUUAGAAUUAGCUCUCAAAAUCUCAUCCUUUGACUUAAAAUGUAUCUUUUAGUUAACCUUGCUUUAGCAAUCAAAUUAAUUCCAAAAAGCUUUAAAUUAUAAUGUGGCUGCAGCAUGUUCUAUUUUUAAUAUGAAAUUGAACUUUAACAUAUCCCUUUCUUCUUUCUCUUGUUAUAUCACUACUAGAAAGCAUAAAUUUAGUUACGGAAUUUUUCAGAAAUUUCCAGCUAAUCUGUCGCUAAAAAAAUCCUUGUUGAUUGAAUUUUUGUAUUAUUCGUCACUAAUUCGUAGCUAAAUGAUAUUAGGAUGGGACUUUUGUUGUUUAGCUGUGGAUUUUUUUCCGGCACUAAUCCUUGUUUUCUAGCAGUGUUAAUAAAAUGUAAACAAUUCAGCCUCUUUAUAUGUUCUCAAAAUAUAUAAAGAGUCCUUUGUUCACUCUACCUUGGGUGGAUUUACACUUGCUAUAACGUUGUUGUCCGUUAUAUGUCCGUUAGUGGAUUGUACGACUAGAAACGUAAUAUGAGGAAAUAUAAUCCUCAACCACGCGUAGGACAUAACCCAUUACCUAUUCUACUGAGACUAUGCGGUAGGUGUUUACCAGCUGCUUUAAUAGAAUUACAUGUUAAAAAAGAUAGCUAAAACUGCAGUUGAUGAUUUUUUUUAACAAAAUAUUUUAAAUUAUUAUUUGGUGCAUGCAGGAUCCAAAGCAUGGUCAUUGGUGGCUAGAAUUUGGAUCAGGAGUAUUAGUAGGAUAUUGGCCAUCAUUUUUAUUUACACACCUUAGAGGUUCAGCAAGUAUGAUACAAUUUGGAGGUGAAAUAGUGAACAGUAGAGGGAAUGGAUUUCACACAUCAACACAAAUGGGAAGUGGACAUUUUGCUGGUGAAGGUUUUGGGAAAGCAUCUUAUUUUAGGAAUUUACAAGUGGUGGAUUGGGAUAAUAGUUUAAUACCAUUGUCUAAUCUCAAAGUAUUAGCUGAUCAUUCUAAUUGUUAUGAUAUUCAAGGAGGGAUUAAUCGUGUUUGGGGUAAUUAUUUUUAUUAUGGGGGACCUGGAAGAAACCAACGUUGUCCUUAAAAGAGGAAAAGACUUGUUCGGUGGACUAAAGCUUUUUCUAUUUAACAAGUCUGAAAAGAUCCUUAAAAGAGAAAAAGAAAGGGACAACAUGGUUUUUUCUUUUCUUUUUUGGUUUCUUAGUUUGGUUGAAGGAUCCAAAGCAUGGUCAUUGGUGGCUAGAAUUUGGAUCAGGAGUAUUAGUAGGAUAUUGGCCAUCAUUUUUAUUUACACACCUUAGAGGUUCAGCAAGUAUGAUACAAUUUGGAGGUGAAAUAGUGAACAGUAGAGGGAAUGGAUUUCACACAUCAACACAAAUGGGAAGUGGACAUUUUGCUGGUGAAGGUUUUGGGAAAGCAUCUUAUUUUAGGAAUUUACAAGUGGUGGAUUGGGAUAAUAGUUUAAUACCAUUGUCUAAUCUCAAAGUAUUAGCUGAUCAUUCUAAUUGUUAUGAUAUUCAAGGAGGGAUUAAUCGUGUUUGGGGUAAUUAUUUUUAUUAUGGGGGACCUGGAAGAAACCAACGUUGUCCUUAAAAGAGGAAAAGACUUGUUCGGUGGACUAAAGCUUUUUCUAUUUAACAAGUCUGAAAAGAUCCUUAAAAGAGAAAAAGAAAGGGUACAACAUGGUUUUUUCUUUUCUUUUUUGGUUUCUUAGUU
rnacentral:lncRNA from 1 species